UGUGCUUUCCAGGUGUCUAAUUACUGAAG
rnacentral:piRNA from 1 species